rfam:Brachypodium distachyon strain Bd21 chromosome 2, whole genome shotgun sequence.
UUAGUACUCCCUCCGUCCAACAAAAAAUGUCUCAAGUUUGUCAAAAUUUGGAUGUAUCUAGACAUGACUUAGUGUAUAGAUGCAUUCAAAUUUAAUCAAACUUGAGACAUCUUUUGUCAGACGAAGGAAGUACAAA